AUGCUUCUGCAUGUCAAUCCAAAGAAGCAAACAAUAGGUAAUUCUUGUAAAGCCUGUGGCUAUCGAGGCAUGCUUGAUACACAUCAUAAGCUCUGCACAUUCAUUCUCAAAAACCUACCUGAGAAUAGUGACAGUGGUACAGGAAAGAAAGAAAAGGAAAAGAAAAAUAGAAAGGGCAAAGACAAGGAAAAUGGCUCCGUAUCCAGCAGUGAGACACCACCACCUCCACCACCAAAUGAAAUCAGUCCUCCUCCACAUGCUGUGGAAGAAGAGGAGGAUGAUGACUGGGGAGAGGAUACAACUGAGGAAGCUCAGAGGUGCAGAAUGGAUGAAAUCAGUGACCAUGCAAAAGUUCUGACACUGAGUGAUGAUUUGGAAAGAACUGUAGAAGAGCGUGUCAAUAUCCUGUUUGAUUUUGUUAAGAAAAAGAAGAGGGCAUUAUUGAUUCAUCAGACAAAGAAAUUGUUGCUGAAGCAGAGAGACUGGAUGUAAAAGCCAUGGGCCCUCUUGUUCUGACUGAAGUUCUUUUUAAUGAGAAGAUUAGAGAACAAAUUAAGAAAUAUAGGCGCCAUUUCCUAAGAUUUUGUCACAACAACAAAAAAGCUCAGCGGUACCUUCUUCAUGGUUUGGAAUGUGUGGUGGCAAUGCAUCAAGCUCAACUCAUCUUCAAGAUUCCACAUAUCUUGAAGGAGAUGUAUGAUGCAGACCUUUUAGAAGAGGAGGUCAUCAUCAGCUGGUCAGAAAAGGCCUCUAAGAAAUAUGUCUCAAAAGAACUUGCCAAAGAGAUUCGUGUCAAAGCAGAACCAUUUAUAAAGUGGUUGAAGGAGGCAGAGGAAGAAUCUUCGGGUGGUGAAGAAGACGAAGAUGAGAACAUUGAGGUGGUGUAUUCGAAGACUGGAGCAUACCGAAAGUUGAAACUGUGAAGUCUGACAACAAGGAUGAUGACAUUGAUAUUGAUGCCAUUUAAAAGGAUGGAUGCAACCUAGCUUAACAGUGUAAUGCUGCAAAUUUUUCUCCAUUAUCAGCCAGAAGUGCAACAUGUAUGUGCAAAAGCUAAAUGGCUUAACAUCAUGCUACACUUUAUACUAAAAAUUAUUACUGUGAGUGGUCUGUAAUUAAGCCCAAUGAGACAUCUAGGGAGUCCAUACACAUCAGUGAGCAGAUGUAGUUUGCUUAUUUAUAGCAUGUUUCUUUUGGAAAAACUAGUGGUGGACACAUUUGGAUCACAUUAUAGUUAUAAAAAAUAAAGAUUUGAUUUUGGUCAUUCUUC